CCUUCCAGUUGACCUCGGAUCAGGUAGGGAUACCCGCUGAACUUAAGCAUAUAAUUAGCGGGAG
rnacentral:rRNA from 1 species